GACGAACGCUGGCGGCGUGCUUAACACAUGCAAGUCGAACGGAAAGGCCCUGCUUUUGUGGGGUGCUCGAGUGGCGAACGGGUGAGUAACACGUGAGUAACCUGCCCUUGACUUUGGGAUAACUUCAGGAAACUGGGGCUAAUACCGGAUAUGAGCUCCUGCUGCAUGGUGGGGGUUGGAAAGUUUCGGCGGUUGGGGAUGGACUCGCGGCUUAUCAGCUUGUUGGUGGGGUAGUGGCUUACCAAGGCUUUGACGGGUAGCCGGCCUGGGAGGGUGACCGGCCACAUUGGGACUGAGAUACGGCCCAGACUCCUACGGGAGGCAGCAGUGGGGAAUAUUGCACAAGGGGCGGAAGCCUGAUGCAGCAACGCCGCGUGCGGGAUGACGGCCUUCGGGUUGUAAACCGCUUUCGCCUGUGACGAAGCGUGAGUGACGGUAAUGGGUAAAGAAGCACCGGCUAACUACGUG
rnacentral:rRNA from 1 species